UGCAUAGACAGGAAUAUAGCGCCCUAAGACACUUUUCAAGGCAGCGUGAUGAUUUGGGUCCAAAUAUAAAAAUGCAUAUCUUCUUUAAAUAUCAUAAUUUCAUUUCUAAGAAUUUAUCUCAAGGAGAUAAUUGUAUGGAUGCAAAAAUAACUGUACACACACAGACACAUACACACACUCAUCUUGGGGUAUUUAACAGUGUAAAGCUGGAAGUAACCUAAACGUAUUUGGCUAAGUAGGUGACAUGGUGAUCCAGAAUAGAACUAGUAAAGUGCUCACAGCGCUCUGUACUUGUGGAGUAAGAGCGAUGUCCUAUGUGCUAUUGAUUAAAUGGUUGAAGGGAACAGAACACGGAGCUUGGCUCCCUUUACGUCUCAUAUUUGUGCUCAUAUUCAUGUAAAGGAAGAGAGAAGCCAGGUGUGGUGAUGGCGGCUCUUCUCUUUAGUCUCAGUGUGCUUGGGAGGCGGAGGCAGGAUGAUCACAACUUCAAGACCAGUCUCAGCUGGAUAGCUGGGCCACGAGAGAGACUUCAUCUCAAAACAAGCAAACAAAUACAUGCACAAAGAGCUAUCUGGAGGGAACAUGCAUCUCCUUUAAAGAUAAUAGGAAGAAAGAGGCUUGGCAUGGAGCAAGCUACUUAAGGACUAUUUAGGAAGAGACCUCCACAUGAAGGUGUUGGGAAGAACAGCACAUUGAAUAGUGACAUCCCUACGACAUGCCUCUCCAGGUGGUGCGACAUGCCUCUUCUCUUACCCAGGGCGCCUUGCCUCAUUAUCUCCCCCCCACCCCCCCUUUGAGUCACAGGAAGAAGAUGUGACUUUGAGAAACUGGUCUUCAAACUGGAGAGAGAGAGAGAGGGGCAUCUAGGUAAUGCUAAGUCAGAUUUUGAGACCUCCGAGGCUUGGUGCCCGUGUGUGUGUGUGUGUGUGUGUGUGUGUGUGUGUGUGUGUGUGUGUGUGCGCGCGCGCGCAUGCAUGUGUGUAGAAGGGGGAACAUGGGGACAUGGAUACAGGAGACGACACGAUGUAGGACUCCCUCCGUCCUAGUGCCCCACUCCUUAGCAAGGGUUCCCAGCUCAUGUCCAGCAGAAUAACAUUUUAGUUUCCAACUAAAGCGAUCAUCCUGAAAGUACCCGAAAGCAUUUUCCUCUGGGGAUGAACUCCAUAGAGCCUUGGGGCUCCGGGUGAUUUAGCAGCCAAAGACUGCACUGCUCCCUAGAGUAGUCCUUCUGAGGAAGUGUUAGCUUCUCCUCCAUGCUUCCCGGACACUGGAGGGACUGCAACUCCUGUGUGGGACUCUUCUGUUUCAGUCGAUUCUAACAAUUGAUCUUACAAGGAGUCGAGGAAGAAGGAGGAGGAAGAGAAAGGUAAAGGCAGAGGAGGAGGAAGAAAGAAAAGAGGAAGAGGAGGGGGAAGAAAAAGAAGAAAGAAAAAGGGAGGAAGGGAAAGGAAGGAGAAAUAGGUCCAGUCUGGCCGGGUCUGCAAAGGAGAUGUGCUUCAAGGACGGCGAUUGUUAUGGUCUUAAUGUUUGUGUCUCCUUAAAAUCCACACGCUGGAAGGAACCUUUGGCCCUAAAGAUGGCAGUACAGAGAUGUUGGGCCUUCUGUGGGUGGUUUGGUCAUGAAGACAGAACUGCCCUCAUUCCCAGCUGGACUAGCACUCUUAUAAAACAAGCUCCAAGACCUGUUUGCCUUCCCUCCCAUGUGAGCUGAUUAUGACAAAGGAAGUAGGGCCCAGCCAGACCCCCACCCCCACCCCGAACCUUGAUCUCGGACUUCUCUGAAACUGUGAGGAAUAAAUGUUUAUUUGUGAGUAAGCUUCCUGGUCUUAGGCCUUUUGUUAUAGUAACCCCAGUGGACUCAUGCUCUGGUGGAAAAUUCAAGAGUCUACACCAAUAGCUCAAGAGCCAGAGCAGUCGGGCCUAGGACAGUGCAAACAAACGGUGAAACCUACCUUGCCAUUGUCAGAGGCGUGGCCUCAGCAGAGGCGUGGCUUCAGCAGAGGCGUGUCCACUGUAGGAAUAGAGCAAAAUAAAGCCUAGAAAUGCGGAGGAGACUGUCCAGUUUAUUAAGGAGAGUAUAUGACAUCAGAUUCUAGUCACAGCAGACUGGGC
rnacentral:lncRNA from 1 species